CCCCUGCCCUCGGCUGGGCGCUCCCGCUGCCCCAAUCCCUGGGCGCCAGGCCUGUGGGAAGGGCUGGCUGUGCCUCCCUCCCACUGCUCCACCUCCACCUGAACCUGCGGGGGAAGAGUUCAACAGCUCCGGCUUCAAGGGAGGGGAAAAGAGGAGGGGGACAGCAACACAUCCAGCAAGUGUCACAAGACUUCGGGGUCAAGGCAGAGCUCCUGGUUUUCCAGGCUGGAAGCACCCACAGAGAGCGUUUUUGCCAGAUGAAGCUGGUGCUGGAGGUGGUUGCUCCAGCUGGCACUGGCUGUGGGGAGCCAGAUCCAGCCGUGGCCACUGGUGGAGAGCAGAUACCCCCUGUGCUAAUUACCACGGAGGUGAUUACAGCCUCGGCACGCCCCGGGCAUGGAUGUGGUCACAGCAGCACCCCGCAGCCCCUGGACAAACACCAGCCUGAGCUGCAAAAGCUUCAAUGAGCAUUUGAUUUGAGGCCAAGAAGGGAAGAACAGGGCCACGGGUGCAGUAUAUGUAUUUAUGUAUUUUUGAAUAUAUAUAUAUAGUAUUAUAUUUAAUAAUACAUAAAUAUAUGUAGAUGUAUAUUGAAUAACUAUGUAUAUAUAAAUAAAUAGGUACAGGUCACAGGUAGGCCUCUGAGCCUGUUCCCAUGGAGAAA